GAUCAUGGCUCAGGACGAACGCUGGCGGCGCGCCUAACACAUGCAAGUCGAACGAGUGAGAGAGAGCUUGCCUUCUCGAGCGAGUGGCGAACGGGUGAGUAACGCGUGAGGAACCUGCCUCAAAGAGGGGGACAACAGUUGGAAACGACUGCUAAUACCGCAUAAGCCCACGGCUCGGCAUCGAGCAGAGGGAAAAGGAGUGAUCCGCUUUGAGAUGGCCUCGCGUCCGAUUAGCUAGUUGGUGAGGUAAUGGCCCACCAAGGCGACGAUCGGUAGCCGGACUGAGAGGUUGAACGGCCACAUUGGGACUGAGACACGGCCCAGACUCCUACGGGAGGCAGCAGUGGGGAAUAUUGCACAAUGGGGGAAACCCUGAUGCAGCGACGCCGCGUGGAGGAAGAAGGUCUUCGGAUUGUAAACUCCUGUUGUUGGGGAAGAUAAUGACGGUACCCAACAAGGAAGUGACGGCUAACUACGUGCCAGCAGCCGCGGUAAAACGUAGGUCACAAGCGUUGUCCGGAAUUACUGGGUGUAAAGGGAGCGCAGGCGGGAAGACAAGUUGGAAGUGAAAUCUAUGGGCUCAACCCAUAAACUGCUUUCAAAACUGUUUUUCUUGAGUAGUGCAGAGGUAGGCGGAAUUCCCGGUGUAGCGGUGGAAUGCGUAGAUAUCGGGAGGAACACCAGUGGCGAAGGCGGCCUACUGGGCACCAACUGACGCUGAGGCUCGAAAGUGUGGGUAGCAAACAGGAUUAGAUACCCUGGUAGUCCUCACCGUAAACGAUGAUUACUAGGUGUUGGAGGAUUGACCCCUUCAGUGCCGCAGUUAACACAAUAAGUAAUCCACCUGG
rnacentral:rRNA from 1 species